UCUGGUUGAUCCUGCCAGUAGUGAUAUGCUUGUUUCAAAGAUUAAGCCACGCAUGUCUAAGUAUAAGCGAACUUAUACAGUGAAACUGCGGAUGGCUCAUUAAAACAGUUUGAAUUUAUUUGAUGAAUGUAUGAGAAUACUACUUGGAUAACCGUAGUAAUUCUAGAGCUAAUACAUGCAGCGACGCCCGACCGUUUCACUACGGAAGGGCUGUAUUUAUUGGAUACCAAAACCAUCCUUCCCUCGGGAAGUUUUGUUUGAUGAUUCACAAUAACUGAUCGGAUCGCCACUGUGGUGGCGACAGGUCAUUCAACAUUCUGCCCUAUCAGCUUUCGAUGGUUGUGUAGUGGACAACCAUGGCCAUAACGGGUAACGGAGAAUCAGGGUUCGAUUCCGGAGAAGGAGCUUGAGAAUUGGCCACUACAUCUAAGGAAGGCAGCAGGCGCGCAAAUUACCCAAUCCCGAUUCGGGGAGGUAGUGACAAAAAAUAACAAUACCGGGCCUUUUUGGGCUUGGUAAUUGGAAUGAGGGAGAGUUAAACGGACCAUCGAGUAUCCAUUGGAGGGCAAGUCUGGUGCCAGCAGCUGCGGUAAUACCAGCUCCAAUAGCGUAUAUUAAAGUUGUUGCAGUUAAAAAGCUCGUAGUUGGACUUGUGUGCGCUGUCCGCGGGUGGCCUGCGCCCAAAAGGGCGUUUCGGUUCGGCCCCGGUGGCGCCUUGAAAUCUGCAGCUGGGGGGACGUUGGCCUUAACUGGUCGGCGACCGCACGCCGGCUGCUCGGUUACUGUGAGAAAAUUAGAGUGUUCAAGGCAGGCAUUGGGUGCAAUUGAAUACAUUAGCAUGGAAUAAUAAAAUAUGGCUCCUGCCGUAUUUUGUUGGUUUUGACUGGUGGGAGUAAUGAUUGAUAGGGACGGUUGGGGGUGCUAGUAUUGAGCGGCCAGAGGUGAAAUUCAUGGAUUCGCUCAAGACUAACUUAUGCGAAAGCAUUCACCAAGGACGUCCUCUUUAAUCAAGAACGAAAGUUGGGGGAUCGAAGACGAUCAGAUACCGUCGUAGUCUCAACCAUAAACUAUGUCGACUUGGGAUCGGCGGUAGUUUUUUCAUUAAGACACUGUCGGGACCACGGGAGAAAUCAAAGUGUCUGGACUCUGGGGGAAGUAUGGUCGCAAGGCUGAAACUUGAAGGAAUUGACGGAAGGGCACCACCAGGAGUGGAGCCU
rnacentral:rRNA from 1 species